UGGCCACCCUGCUGCCAAUAUACAGUAACAGAAGUAAUAUUUCUGGGGCCUGCUGUGGGCAAAGCACUGAUUGAAACCCCAGCCUCACAGAAAUCCUUUGAGGCAGGUGCUAUUAUUAGUACGGUCAUUAGCACUACCAUUCCUAUUGUUUGUAAGACGAAGAAACAAGCUGUGUCCCAGCACUUGCUCGCUCCAGGCUCCCACCUCCUCGGUGCUGAGCCCAAAGUCACAGGGCACCACCGUGCGGUACUUGAAGCGACAGGGCAGGUCAUCGAUGAUGUCCUCAUAGUCCAGCCGAUAAUACUCAUCCAGGUACUGCUCGAACGUCUUGUCCCCUGUGCGGGGAGAGAGAGCCAGGCUGCCAGGGUGUGCCGGGCCCCUCGCAGCCCCUGCCCGCCCACGGCUGCCCGCCUGGGCCUCACCGGGGUCAAACACAGGCUUCUCCUGCCCCACAGCCGCCGCAAAGGGAGACUUUCGCUUCUUCUUGCCCAUCGCGGGGGCCUCACGCCGCUUCUUCCGAGGCUGGCUGGGGUCAUAGUCGGCAUCCAUCUGCCAGAACAUGUAGGUCAGGCCUGCCCUCAGGGUCCUCAGGACCCUCUGAGCACCCCCUACCCCGAUCCCCAUGCCUGUGGUACCUACAUUGAAGUCGGGGUCCUCGCAGUGCAGCUCCUGCUGGCUCCACGCUCCACCCUGCUCCGGCCCAGCCCAUGUGUCCCAAUUCCAGUCAUCUGGUGCCAGGGGACAGACAGGCAGGGAUGGGCUGGGGGGUCAGGUUGGACCAAGUGCCCCCACCCACAGCCCAGUGCCCCAGGUGACCUCACCUUCAAGGCCUUCCUCUUCCUCAAAUUGCGGCUUUUCCUCCUCCGUGGUGCCAUAAUAUUCGUCCCCGAAGUACUUCUGCAGGGUUGGGGCCGGGAGGGUCAGCAGGGCCCACUGCCCCCGACAGCCUUACUCCCUCACCAUACACGGCUCCCCGGCACCCCCGCAGGACCCAGCUCCUGA
rnacentral:lncRNA from 1 species